AUCCUCAAAGGUCUCUUCUCUCCCCUCUCUCUAAUUCUCGGAGCCUUUUUAAAUUCUUUUUAUUCUCAGCUUCUUGAGGUUGGUAAUGGAGCUUAUCUAGCAAUGGAAGGAGUUCCAGGGGUCAAUCAUACUGUUCCAAAUCCUAACCAUUAUGACAAGUCAAUAGUGCUAGAUGUAAAACCACUGCGAAGUUUGAAACCUGUUUUUCCAAAUGGUAACCAAGGUCCACCUUUUGUUGGUUGUCCACCUUUUGGUCCUUCUUCAUCUGAGUAUUCUCCUUUCUAUCCCUUUGGAGCACAACAACCAACGCAAGAUACUCCUGAUCUCAACCAAACUCAAGACACACCUCCUCCAUCGUUUGUUCCACCUCUUCGGUCCUAUAGAACACCUACUGAAUCAAAUGGCCCCAGCAGCUCCAGUGCAACUAAAAGAGGAGUUGGUCGACCUAAGGGAAGUGGUAA